rnacentral:rRNA from 1 species
UGCCUAACACAUGCAAGUCGAACGGCAGCACGGGGGCAACCCUGGUGGCGAGUGGCGAACGGGUGAGUAAUACAUCGGAACGUGCCCUGAAGUGGGGGAUAACGUAGCGAAAGUCACGCUAAUACCGCAUAUUCUGUAGAAACAAGAAAGCAGGGGAUCUUCGGACCUUGUGCUUUAGGAGCGGCCGAUGUCGGAUUAGCUAGUUGGUGAGGUAAGAGCUCACCAAGGCGACGAUCCGUAGCGGGUCUGAGAGGAUGAUCCGCCACACUGGGACUGAGACACGGCCCAGACUCCUACGGGAGGCAGCAGUGGGGAAUUAUGGACAAUGGGCGCAAGCCUGAUCCAGCCAUGCCGCGUGAGUGAAGAAGGCCUACGGGUUGUAAAGCUCUUUCGGCGGGGAAGAAAUGGCACUGGCUAAUACCUAGUGUAGAUGACGGUACCCGCAUAAGAAGCACCGGCUAACUACGUGCCAGCAGCCGCGGUAAUACGUAGGGUGCGAG